UCGCAGCCGGCAGCCACCGCUGCCCCUCCCUCCGUCGCAGCCGCCGCCACCCAUUAAUUGUUUCCGUUCCAUGUGUUUUAGAUCAAACCUAGUUUAAGUUCUAGGCAGGAGUAAAUCAGCGGUACUAUUUCAGUAACCUGAUGUUGGUUUAGUGAUUAAUGGCUCUAGCGGGUAGUGUUGUGGUAGCAAACAGAAAAGAAUAAUCGUUGUGCUGAUGUAUAAAGUUAUUUUGAACACCAUGAUACGAUCUGAAUCACAGCCGUGUAGUACCAGCUGAGUUUGUGCUUCGGUUUAGCUUCUUAGGAGAGGAAGCCCAGCUUUGUACCUGAUGCUCUUGUUGGUGCUAGUAAAUUUCAGUAACUUGACUCUCUUUUCAUUCUUGGGUUGAUUCUCACACGUUUGUCGAUUUCGUUUUUCGUUUUUACCUCCACGUUGGUCUUUCUGGAUAUUUUAGGAGCUAAUCUUUCAGUCUUUCCAUUCAAUAUUCACGCAUGUACAUGGCUAAAGCAUAGCAGCUAUGAGAGUUAAUACACAAGAAUAGGUACAUGUCCAAGUUAGAUUCUAAGCUAGAAAAAGGUGAUAGUUUCAGUAACUCUGCCAGGACAGGGAAAUCUGAAGCUGAUGAUCAACUCAUUACUCCAUCCGGUUUUAUUUACUCUGCAUAUUAGGAAAUUCUUUCAGAGGAUGACAAGCUCCGCAAGUUGAAAGGAGCGCACGGUGAGGAAAUCUAUGCCCUGGUGUCGAAGAUGCUGCUCGAAAUCAACCAAUACAACCCCAGAGGAGGAUACCCAGUAAAGGGGUUGUGUAACUAUAACGACGACCGGGAAGUGAUGCUGAAGGAAGCCAUCCAGUUUGUCGUGAAAAAGUCACACAAGAGGAAGCGCGAAGCCCCAACAAACCAAUACUGAUCUUUAGGACGAGGCUGGGGUGUGUCCUGCUUUUGCAUUCUAGAAACCUUUGCACUGUGGCUUGAACUUGCCUAAUAUAAUCUUAUUGCUACUGGAUUAGUUUAAUACGUUUGUGUAGUGGCUCACUCGAGCCUUAAUGAUCAUGGACCUAUAAUUAGCCCUAAUCGGCUUUUGAAGAGUAACACUUGUAUUUUUCUGUUUCUGAAUAUCUUCAUUGGUAUUUUCCAGUUUCUA